UCAAGGCUGGGCUGAAGCUCGUCAACGUCGAAAACAAUCAAAAUGCCAAAAACGAUAACCAAACAAAGUCGGCGGUGGACGCCAAACGC
rnacentral:sRNA from 1 species